GAAGCACGCCAGACCGCCGCUGGUGCGAUCACCGAAAGGUGGCACUGGAGGAAGGUCCGGACUGCACAGGGCAGCGUAGCAGGCAACACCUGUCCACCGCGAGGUGAGGAUCAGAGCAACAGAGACGAGUCGGUGGGUUUCCGAAAGGGGGCUUGCCGGGUGAAACGGGCAAUCUCUACGCGCAGCAAUACCAAAUAGGCCGGCAUCGAUGUGGCUCCGCGGAGCCGGCGGGUAGGUAGCACCGAGCCGGUGGGGCGACCCCCGGCCCAGAGGAAUGGCGGUCACGGCGCGGGCAACCGCGCCGCACAGAAUCCGGCCUAUCGGCGCGCUUCACAC
rnacentral:RNase_P_RNA from 2 species